GCUGGGUGUGGUGGUGUACGCCUGUAAUCCCAGCUACUCAGGAGGCUGAGGCAGGAGAAUUGCUUGAACCUGGGAGGCGGAGGUUGCAGUGAGAUCGCGCCACUGCACUCCAGCCUAGGUGACAGAGUGAUACUCUGUCUCAA
ensembl:misc_RNA Metazoa_SRP Metazoan signal recognition particle RNA